AGUUGGUCUGAGAGGACGACCAGCCACACUGGGACUGAGACACGGCCCAGACUCCUACGGGAGGCAGCAGUGGGGAAUUUUGGACAAUGGGCGCAAGCCUGAUCCAGCAAUGCCGCGUGCAGGAAGAAGGCCUUCGGGUUGUAAACUGCUUUUGUCAGGGAAGAAAUCCUCUAGGUUAAUACCCUUGGGGGGAUGACGGUACCUGAAGAAUAAGCACCGGCUAACUACGUGCCAGCAGCCGCGGUAAUACGUAGGGUGCAAGCGUUAAUCGGAAUUACUGGGCGUAAAGCGUGCGCAGGCGGCUUUGCAAGACAGAUGUGAAAUCCCCGGGCUCAACCUGGGAACUGCAUUUGUGACUGCAAGGCUAGAGUACGGUAGAGGGAUCGAUCGCGUGUAGCAGUGAAUGCGUAGAUAUGCGGAGGAACACCAAUGGCGAAGGCAAUCCCCUGGACCUGUACUGACGCUCAUGCACGAAAGCGUGGGGAG
rnacentral:rRNA from 1 species